rnacentral:lncRNA from 1 species
UCCAACAAGGACUCCUACGUCCCUCCCCGGCUAACCUGGAUCCUGCUCAACCCAACACCUGCCUUCUCUCAGUCCCUGGGUUCCCGCAGGCCUUGGGGCCCCACAGUCAUAUCUGCUAUUCCUGCAGCUCAGCACAGUCACAGCAACUCUCCAAAUCAUGACGCUCAAAACGCCACAUCUAAAAAGAACAUCCGGGCUCUGCCCCUAAGAAAGUAAAUUCAUGCACCUACAAAGAGAAAGGAACGGCACAGCCAUCCACCUUUCAACUCCUGAGUUUCCAUCUGCACCCUUCAACACUUAUGAGGACUUACGUGAAACUAUGUGACAACUUUUUAUUUCUAUUAAACAAAAUACAGCUUU